ACCAACAGGGAUUGCCCUAGUAACGGCGAGUBAAGCGGCAACAGCUCAAAUUUGAAAUCUGGCUCUUUUAGAGUCCGAGUUGUAAUUUGCAGAGGGCGCUUUGGCUUUGGCAGCGGUCCAAGUUCCUUGGAACAGGACGUCACAGAGGGUGAGAAUCCCGUACGUGGUCGCUAGCUAUUGCCGUGUAAAGCCCCUUCGACGAGUCGAGUUGUUUGGGAAUGCAGCUCUAAAUGGGAGGUAAAUUUCUUCUAAAGCUAAAUAUUGGCCAGAGACCGAUAGCGCACAAGUAGAGUGAUCGAAAGAUGAAAAGCACUUUGGAAAGAGAGUCAAACAGCACGUGAAAUUGUUGAAAGGGAAGCGCUUGCAGCCAGACUUGCUUGCAGUUGCUCAUCCGGGCUUUUGCCCGGUGCACUCUUCUGCAGGCAGGCCAGCAUCAGUUUGGGCGGUGGGAUAAAGGUCUCUGUCACGUACCUUCCUUCGGGUUGGCCAUAUAGGGGAGACGUCAUACCACCAGCCUGGACUGAGGUCCGCGCAUCUGCUAGGAUGCUGGCGUAAUGGCUGUAAGCGGCCCGUCUUGAAACACGGACCAAGGAGUCU
rnacentral:rRNA from 1 species